AGUUUGAUCCUGGCUCAGAUUGAACGCUGGCGGUAUGCUUAACACAUGCAAGUCGAACGGCAGCACAGCAGAGCUUGCUCUGUGGGUGGCGAGUGGCGGACGGGUGAGUAAUACAUCGGGACCUACCCAGACGUGGGGGAUAACGUAGGGAAACUUACGCUAAUACCGCAUACGUCCUACGGGAGAAAGCAGGGGAUCUUCGGACCUUGCGCGGUUGGACGGACCGAUGUUCGAUUAGCUUGUUGGUGAGGUAAUGGCUCACCAAGGCGACGAUCGAUGGCUGGUCUGAGAGGAUGAUCAGCCACACUGGGACUGAGACACGGCCCAGACUCCUACGGGAGGCAGCAGUGGGGAAUAUUGGACAAUGGGCGCAAGCCUGAUCCAGCAAUACCGCGUGUGUGAAGAAGGCCUUCGGGUUGUAAAGCACUUUUAUCAGGAACGAAACGCUGUCGGUUAAUACCCGGCGGAACUGACGGUACCUGAGGAAUAAGCACCGGCUAACUUCGUGCCAGCAGCCGCGGUAAUACGAAGGGUGCAAGCGUUAAUCGGAAUUACUGGGCGUAAAGCGUGCGUAGGCGGUUUGUUAAGUCUGUUGUGAAAUCCCCGGGCUCAACCUGGGAAUGGCAAUGGAUACUGGCAAGCUAGAGUGUGAUAGAGGAUGGUGGAAUUCCCGGUGUAGCGGUGAAAUGCGUAGAGAUCGGGAGGAACAUCAGUGGCGAAGGCGGCCAUCUGGAUCAACACUGACGCUGAGGCACGAAAGCGUGGGGAGCAAACAGGAUUAGAUACCCUGGUAGUCCACGCCCUAAACGAUGCGAACUGGAUGUUGGUCUCAACUCGGAGAUCAGUGUCGAAACUAAACGCGUUAAGUUCGCCGCCUGGGGAGUACGGUCG
rnacentral:rRNA from 1 species